rnacentral:rRNA from 1 species
AUUGAACGCUGGCGGCAGGCCUAACACAUGCAAGUCGAGCGGAACGGCGGACGGGCGAGUAAUUCCUAGGUAUCUGCCUGGCCGUGGGGGAUCACGUCCGGAAACGGGCGCUAACACCUCAUACUUUCCGUUGAGCCUGGGGGGGAUUAGCUAGCUGGUGGGGUAAAGGCCUACCAAGGCGACGAUCCGUAACUGGUCUGAGAGGAUGAUCAGUCACACUGGAACUGAGACACGGUCCAGACUCCUACGGGAGGCAGCAGUGGGGAAUAUUGGACAAUGGGCGAAAGCCUGAUCCAGCCAUGCCGCGUGUGUGAAGAAGGUCUUCGGAUUGUAAAGCACUUUAAGUUGGGAGGCGUUACCAACAGAAGAAGCACCGGCUAACUUCGUGCCAGCAGCCGCGGUAAUUC